rnacentral:lncRNA from 1 species
AAAUGCAGCCCUUUGAACAUCAUGUCCUGGUUUGCCUGGGGUGUUCCCACUGAAAGUUGUAACUCCUGAGAACCCCUCCCUGCUUUUUAUUUUUGUUUUCUGUAGAACCUAGAGAAGGGGGUCAUCCCACAUUUGUUGGCAGUGCAGGGAACUGACAUUUGUUGGGCGCCUGUUACGUAUAAUUAGAUGUAUUACGUGUUUACACCACUUCGUCCUCACAGUAGUCCCGCAAGGAAGAGAACCUACAAAACACUAGAGCGGCCUCUCCUGUAAAUAGAACCAAACUCGAGGCUACCGUGAGAAUCCGAGUUCACGAGAGAUGACAGCUGGAGUCCAUUAGAUUCCGUUACAUGCAAACGAUCUCCUGCAGUUCCAUCUAGCUCUCCAGAUUUGGCAAAUCAUUUUGUUUGUUGAACAUUUGAAGGAGAAUAAUACUCUGUAUGACCACACGUGUUUCAGUGACAAAGGAGCACAGUAGCAGAUUCUGGCUGCACUGACCUUUUGUUCCUGGUCUCGUGGUUAAGUUUUUGAAAACAAACAAGGGAUUUGUGGAUAAUUAGUCUUCACUGGGAGCCACCGGUCUUCUAAGGAACUCAAAAAUCGUAUCAUGGGAGGGAGCGCUAAAGAUACUCUUCAGAUGAUUCGGUCUGGAGAGAUGAUUCAGAGAACGCGACAAUCCUCCUCAAAUAUCCGAAGAAGUUGCAGAUGGAAGACAGAUUAAAUUUCUACGAGUAGCAAAGGAGCACAUAAUUGGGUUCUUGGGUGGAAAUCACAAGAGACAGAUUUCAACUUCAUUAUAAGGCAAAAUACGUCACUAGGCUGUUCCGGAAUGGAACGGGCAGCGUGAUGGCACAGUGAGUUUUCAGGCACAGCAAGUUUAUAUGUAUUUGUUCAUUCAUUUACUCAACAAGUAAUUACCAGUGACUACUAUGUGCCAGGCACUGGUCUAAAUUCUGGAAAUGCAGUUAUAGACAGGAAAGACAGGGUCCCUGAUCUCAUGGAGCUUGUCUUCCAGAGUAGCGGUUGACAAAUUUCUUCUGUAAAGGGCCAGGUAGAAAAUAUUUUAAGUUUUGGAGGCCAUGCAGUCUGUGGUGCGACUACUGAACUCUGCUGUUAUUUUGCAAAAGCAUCCUUAGACCAGGCAUUGGCAAACAAUGGCCUGCAGGCCAGAUUCGGCCCGCCAUUUACUUUCCUGAGGAAAGUUGUGUUGGAACACAGCCACACCCACUCAUUUCUGUGUUGCCUGUAGCUGCCUUAGGCCACAACAGCGGACCCUGUGGUUAUCACAGAGACCGUACGCCCCAUGAAGCCUAAGCCGUUUACAUGUUACCCUUUACAGAAAACGUUUGCUUUCAGCUGCCAUGGAAAAUUCAGAAACAAAUGACUGUGUCUAAGGAGACUUUAUUUAUGGAUAUCGCAAUCUAAUUUUAUGUAAUUUUCACAUCAUGAAAUAUUCUUUAAAAAAUUUUUUCGAUCAUUUACAACUGUAAAAACUCCUCUUAGCUCAUGGGUCAUACUAAAACCCAGGUGGGCUGAAUUUGACCAUGGGUCAUAGUUUGCCAGUCCCUGUUCUAGAGUAUUUUAGCCAAUUCAUAUAUCUUGAAUAGUACUAUUUUCACUGGUGAGAAUCUAUUUCUAACUUCAUUUAUGCUGAUAAUUACAAAUUUCACUAUUGUGCUAAAUAAAGAAAUGUCUGUUGUCGAUCAGAGAACAAGGUCACUAAAAUGCUCAUAGUAGCUAUCUCCGGAGUUGGGGCCUUUUUGAUAAAAUUCUAGCUGCUUCCCCCACUCCCUUCUGCCAUUUCAGUGUGAAAUCCUGAUCACGACAUCUGACUGCGCCAGGCUGUAUUUUAGCCUAACUAAUGCGUAGUGUCCCACUGUCCGCGCUGAAGCCGUUUAGAGGGUACAGAGAGAUCAUAACCCUCUAAAAUGCAGAGACACUGAACUCUUUUUUUUUCAUUCAACUCUAUAAGCACUGGGGCAUACUUUGCAUAAUUACAAAGGCCUGUGAAUCUCUCAAACAAAAGAACCGUCCAUCUGGGCAACUAUUUUUAGAAACCGGCUAUAAUUUUUCAUUUUUUCCCCCCGAAUGGCAAUUUUUCCUUCACGUCGCACAUCAAAACAAACUCCUCAAGGUCAGAUGGAAAAAAAGUGAAAGUAUUUGACUGGGUGUUUGACUUAAGUGACUAGUAAAUUCAAUCUUAAAUAUUAAUCUAAUAACCACUUUUAGGUACCAGCUGAAUUUUUCAUUCUGAAAUAAUUUCAGUUUUUUUCUGGGAUAAAUUUUCGCUUUUGCAAAUGUGCUCUUUGUGCAAAUUCUCUGAGUCAAGGUGUAAAACAUCCUUUUAGCCUCUUUUUAUUGAUCUCCUUCCCUCAAGCCGUCUCUCUUUUAGUUUAUAAAAGACAAACCAUAAAUUCCUUCAGUUUUUAAAAUUUUUUUCCUGCUCUUUCAUCCAUUAGUAGAUUUAACUCUGAAAACUGAAAUUACUUUUGAGUAAUAAAAUCGAAACCCUCCCUCCCGGUUCGAUAGUUUGAAAGUGUUUUUCACUUUGAGCUUAUUUCACCAGUGGACUGGCUAGUGCCACUUUGGAGGAGCUAAAGUGCAUAGGUGUCUGGCUAAGAGAGCAGAUGCCGUGGCUUAUUGCUGGAAACCCCCAACGACGUGCAAUUUGGCGUCUAAAUAGAAACUUGACAAUGAUUGAACCAUUGGGAUGACCUUCAGCUAAAUCAUUUAGAGCAGCACCGUUCUCAAACAUAAAAGGUGACAAUGUGUUGGCCUCUUUAUUUUCUUUGAAAUUAAAACAAAUCUGUGUUUUGUGAAAUAAAGGAUGGGAUUGGGGUUUGCAUUGACUUCAAGCACUGACUGCCUGCCCUUCUCG